CAGCAGCCACGGUAAAACGGAGGAUCCAAGCGUUAUCCGGAAUCAUUGGGUUUAAAGGGUCCGUAGGCGGUCUUGUAAGUCAGUGGUGAAAGCCCAUCGCUCAACGGUGGAACGGCCAUUGAUACUGCAGGACUUGAAUUAUUGGGAAGUAACUAGAAUAUGUAGUGUAGCGGUGAAAUGCUUAGAGAUUACAUGGAAUACCAAUUGCGAAGGCAGGUUACUACCAAUUGAUUGACGCUGAUGGACGAAAGCGUGGGUAGCGAACAGGAUUAGAUACCCCCGUAGUCCCUGUCUCUUAUAC
rnacentral:rRNA from 1 species